CCAGCACGGGGCUGUGGUUGAUGAGGGGGAGGGAAAAGACGACACCUGGCACUAAUUGGCUUAGACCCUAUUUAAUGUGCCUUAUUUUCCUGGGUUUGGUAAUGAUCCCAGAAGAGCUCCCUCCACACACUGACAGGAUGUGAGCCCAUCCCCCCUCCCCCCCUUCUCGCAGGUUCACACCCGAGACUCCCUGCAAGCCUGUGUUUGGUUGACUCCCGCCUGGAGUGAUGGGGGACGUUCAUCAUGGGGAUAUCGGGAUCCUUUGUCUGCACCACGGCCAUCAUCUCUGGUUACAUGUCACCUUCUAUAUGCUUUGAGCGAAUACAAAUCCCCCUGAAGAAGACCAAAUUGUGGUCAAAACGCGUCGGGGUAUUCUUAUGGAAGCUACUUCAUCAAUGGCACUAUAUAUUAUUCCAUUGUAUCAUUUAACAUUUAAUUGUUGUUGAGAUAGGUCUCCAACUGUCUGUAACCUGAAUGUAUUUUAUAUUACAACUAUCUGCAUCUUCAUUACUCGUGAUACAGAAACCUAGUAAAGAAUUUUUUUUUUAUAUAUUUCCAUGUCUU